GACGAACGCUGGCGGCGUGCUUAACACAUGCAAGUCGAACGGAAAGGCCCUGCUUUUGUGGGGUGCUCGAGUGGUGAACGGGUGAGUAACACGUGAGUAACCUGCCCUUGACUUUGGGAUAACUUCAGGAAACUGGGGCUAAUACCGGAUAGGAGCUCCUGCUGCAUGGUGGGGGUUGGAAAGUUUCGGCGGUUGGGGAUGGACUCGCGGCUUAUCAGCUUGUUGGUGGGGUAGUGGCUUACCAAGGCUUUGACGGGUAGCCGGCCUGAGAGGGUGACCGGCCACAUUGGGGCUGAGAUACGGCCCAGACUCCUACGGGAGGCAGCAGUGGGGAAUAUUGCACAAUGGGCGGAAGCCUGAUGCAGCAACGCCGCGUGCGGGAUGACGGCCUUCGGGUUGUAAACCGCUUUCGCCUGUGACGAAGCGUGAGUGACGGUAAUGGGUAAAGAAGCACCGGCUAACUACGUG
rnacentral:rRNA from 1 species